rnacentral:misc_RNA from 1 species
AUCAUGAGAGAUAACUGAAUUUUACGUUAGCCGUCAAUCUACUACAAUCCUCCCUUUGUCCGGUCUUGGGAUUGCUAUGCUCAUUGUUAAUCAUUUUAUACAAGUACAUCCAUUUAAACAUCUGGGUCUUGCAUUAAUGAUUAAUUCUGUGUUCUGAGACAUGUAUCCCAUGGAAAUUGUGUCAUACAUAAAAUUAUGGAAUGAGGCAUCAUUACAAUCAGCAGUUUGUGCUUCUAGUCAAGUAACUUGACCAGAAGAUGCAUAUGGUGCACUUAGUGAUCAACCUUCAGUUAGUGUUUUAUAUACUAGCCACUGAAUA